rnacentral:rRNA from 1 species
UUAUGACCUGGGCUACACACGUGCUACAAUGGUUGGUACAACGAGUUGCGAGUCGGUGACGGCGAGCGUAAUCUCUUAAAGCCAAUCUCAGUUCGGAUUGUAGGCUGCAACUCGCCUACAUGAAGUCGGAAUCGCUAGUAAUCGCGGAUCAGCAUGCUACGGUGAAUUACCGGUUCCCGGGCCUU